rnacentral:rRNA from 1 species
GACGAACGCUGGCGGCGUGCCUAAUACAUGCAAGUAGGACGCAGUUGCGAACGGGUGAGUAACGCGUAGGUAACUACCUAUUAGAGGGGGAUAAAUAUUGGAAACGAUAGCUAAUACCGCAUACUAGUAGAUGGACCUGCGUUGUAUUAGCUAGUAGGUAGGGUAAUGGCGUACCUAGGAAACGAUCCAUAGACGAACUGAUAGGGUGAUCGGCCACACUGGGACUGAGACACGGCCCAGACUCCUACGUGAGUCAGCAGGAGGGAAUCUUCGGCAAUGGGGGGAACCCUGACCGAGCAACGCCGCGUGAGUUAAGAAGGUUUUCGGAUCGUAAAGCUCUGGUGUUAAGGAAGCGGUACUUAACCAGAAAGGGACGGCUAACUACGUGCCAGCAGCCGCGGUAAUUC